AUGGGGGACACUUUCAACGUCACAGAGCAUGUUCAGAAUGCCAAGAAGAAAGAAGAUAAAGAAAAUCCACAAGAGCAAGAAAAUCCACAGGCACAUCCCCUUCCACAAAGCCAAGAUGAAGAAAAUCCACAGGCACAUCCCCUUCCUCUCUGCCAUGAUGAAGAAAAUCCGCCGCUACAUAUCCUUGCACUCCUCCAAGACGAAGAAAAUCAGCAACCACAUCUCCUUGCACUCCUCCGACUCCACAAAACAAAAUCCGAUGCUGAACAGAGGUUCCCAAAUGAAAAGCCCAAACUCACCUCAAUCUCAGCAAUUUCUUCCAUGGAGCUUGAAGAAAUCAGCAUCGAGCUGGCAGCUUGCCACACACCAGCAACAUUCUCGGCGAUGGACUUGGUGAAAGGACGUCUCUUUGGCGAGCUCUCCCUGGCGCCUCUGUCCCUGAGCGACACAAGAGCAUCCUGCCUCGUCAACAUGGCGGCUUUUGAGGUAUGCACCGCCUCAAGUUAUGGGGAUGACCCUAACAAUCCUGGUCUCUUUGCAAUGUUCAUGGUUCAGAAGGAGGACGUGCACAAGCUGCGAUCAAAGGGCCUUCUGCAUGGGCCUCACAGUAACAAGGAGAUGCUCACCUUCUUCAAGAGUGUUAUGACGCACCUACCUGACAGCGGAUCCCGUUUCGCCCACCUCAUGGCAAAAAUUGAGGACUAUAAACACAAGAGGUACAUCUGGAUCAAAUUGUACAAAUGCAUCCACAACAACAAGAAGAUCAUCAUGGCGGUGGUGCCUAUCAUUGCUACUCUGAUUGGUCUCAUCAUUAAAAUCCUCCCUCUCUACGAGAAGAAUUGA
rnacentral:rRNA from 1 species